UAUGGACUUGGGGUGUCAGAAGUGUCCAAUAGAUGACAUAGGCGUCGUCGUUUUCAUGUGAUGGCGGAUUGUUGUGUCAGUGGUUGUCAAAAGUUUUCCUAUUUUUCCAUGAAAAUUACCGAUGAAUUCAUCAGUAAAUUCAAGUUCUUUUCUGUGCAACUUGUUUGCGAUGUGAUUUAAACUCAGUAGGUCACUACUGGGUCACUACCCCAGUGUGGACAUGUUUGUUUUUCUGAACAUGCUUUUCAACAAAUAAUUCAUUGACGUACAAGGAAAGCUAUGAAAAAUAUCAUAUCAUCUAGGCCAUGGGUAAUCUUCAGGUUUAUUGCAGCAGCUUAAGAGAAGAAUGUGAACAAAUGCAGGGCACUGGUCACAUACCAACACGUGUUGUAUUUUUCUGAAUGUUAAACACGAGCAGCAGAUUCAACAUGACUAACUGUUUGAUGCCAAAGUUAGUUGGAACUCAACUCACUGUGCGUACUCUAAAAACACAGAUAACUGGUGCUGUUGCCUUUCAGCCACCGGCAGGAAAAUGAUUCUUUUCUUCAGAAAAUUGCAAGUUUAAUUUUUUGUCUUGACCCCCAACACUUUCUGUUAAUAUUAUAGAUUUUUAUGUUGAAAGAGUUACAAAGUUUGAAAA